GCCGAAGUGGUGGAAUUGGCAGACGCGACGGAUUCAAAAUCCGUUGCCUUCACGGGCGUGUGGGUUCGAGUCCCACCUUCGGCA
rnacentral:tRNA from 3 species